ACAGUGACCUCCCAGGCCUCACCAGUGGCAGUGACCUCCCAGGCCUCUCCAGGCCAGGCCACAGCUGGGGAAGGACAGUCUGUCCCCCCGCAGGUUGGACGGUUGCUGCCUCUACCACCUGAAGGGCUGACCUUGGGAAUCCACGUCUCUAUGGAAGGGCGGAAGCCAUGAGGACCAGAGCCUUAAUAUAGCCGCCAGGCGCCCUGCACUCUCCUUCCCACCAGCCCUCCCUGCGCUCUGCCCAGCCAGCCAUAAACAACCAGACGAGCCGGAGGUUGGCAGGCAAAGUGGCCCGGCCCCUUAUCAGAGCGACAGGACUAAAAGGAAAGUCACUUUACCUGCACUGCCUGGACCUGGGCAUACUGACUUCCCAUCACCUUUUGAACUAAAGCAGAUGCCCAGGCAGCCUUCAGGAGGAGGGCGCCGCACCUGGAAAUCCCCAAAGACCUUGCAGCGGCCCCUCCAGCCUGCAGAAAGUGUCCACCAAGACCCUCGGUGCUCGGUCCUGGGCACCCUGGGGGAGGGAGAAGGCCCUGGUGAAGCCCCAAAACAGUAUGGGCAGCAUAGAAAAAGAAGAGAGACGCAGAGCCCCGUCAGCUGGGGCUUCCUGACCCAGAACCAUUUAUAGAGCCCUCCCGCUUCAAGCCCUUAAUUUAUGGCUUCAUUCAGAGCAGAGCAGCAAGGCUGAAAGCACCCCAGGCCCUGAGCCUGCAGCCCUCACUCCUCAAAGCAGGCCCGGAGGCUGGCACGUCCUCACUCUCCCACCAUUCCUGGACCUGGCUGCGGCCAACCAACGGGGUGCUCCUUGACACCCGUAGGUGUGUCUUGGCCAAACACGGACACUGGAUCCCGAGAGCCGCCCUGUACAGGCAUAAACCCGACCGGGCAUCUGAGUCCUGGGGACACACCACAUCUCCACUGUGCUGGGACCGCAGCUUCCAGGGGUGGGCUCAGGGAGAGGGUCAGUCUCUCCUUUGCUGUUGCAAAAGACAGCUCAUGGCUAAGUGACCAUGAUGCCUCUAAGGUUUGUCUGAAACAUGCAACGUGCUCAUUAAGGAGGGAACAUGGGAGGAUCACUCGAGCCCAGGAGUUUGAGACCAGCCCGGGCAGCAUAAUGAGAGCCCAUCUCUACAAAAAAGUAUAAAUAAAUAAAUAAAUAAUCCAGGUGUGGUGGCGUCCGCCUGUGGUCCCAGCUGCUCAGGAGUCUGAGGUGGGAGGAUCACUGGAGCCCAGGAGUUUGAGACCAGCCCGGGCAGCAUAAUGAGAGCCCA
rnacentral:lncRNA from 1 species